rnacentral:tRNA from 1 species
GCGGGAGUAGCUCAGUCGGUUAGAGCGUAUGGCCCUUAACCAUAAGGUCGGAGGUUGGACCCCUUCCUCUAGCG